GAUGAACGCUGGCGGCGUGCCUAAUACAUGCAAGUAGAACGCUGAAGGAGGAGCUUGCUCUUUCCGGAUGAGUUGCGAACGGGUGAGUAACGCGUAGGUAACCUGCCUGGUAGCGGGGGAUAACUAUUGGAAACGAUAGCUAAUACCGCAUAACAGUAGAUAUUGCAUGAUAUCUGCUUGAAAGGUGCAAUUGCAUCACUACCAGAUGGACCUGCGUUGUAUUAGCUAGUUGGUGAGGUAACGGCUCACCAAGGCGACGAUACAUAGCCGACCUGAGAGGGUGAUCGGCCACACUGGGACUGAGACACGGCCCAGACUCCUACGGGAGGCAGCAGUAGGGAAUCUUCGGCAAUGGACGGAAGUCUGACCGAGCAACGCCGCGUGAGUGAAGAAGGUUUUCGGAUCGUAAAGCUCUGUUGUAAGAGAAGA
rnacentral:rRNA from 1 species